CAAUCCUUUUGUUGUUUUAGAGCUGUUUCUGCAUUUAUAAUCCAAUGCACUGGCUGUGCUUCUUUUUUCACAGAGCAAUCUCUUUGAUUGAGGAGGUUGUUUCAGGAAUGAGUACAUAUGAUGAGGUUGGUCAAUUAUUACUUAGAAUGACUGAGCUUUUCCCAAGUUCGAUGAUCUAUUGACAUCUAUCUUUGGUUGGGUUGGUUUAUGGUUGGUAUCCUUGUCAUGCAUUAUUGAGGCUUUAAUACAGCAGACAAAUGGAAGAGAGCCAUAUUGCUUGUUCCCAUAUUCAAGGUUGUCUGUGGCACGAGCUUACUAGAUCGUUUCUUUUUACAAUAGGAUGGAGGACAUCUGCAAUAAGACUCCUGCUGUGGACUUUCAGCUGCAUAUCUUUGGACUUGAUGCUUCUGGUUCUUGUUUUCCAGAGUUCGUGUUUCUUAUGAGCAAAAGAUUCUGGUGUCAGUGAAUAAGAAGGAAAUUUUGAAGUUCCCUUGCCAUUGAUCAACAGAUCUUCACAAUGUUAUGGUUUCCAAAAUGAUGGUGAUUUCAAUUUGGUCAAUUGGUUGUUAAGUCCGAGGUUUUUCUAUUCAGUUCUGAUCUUGACGCACCAUCAAUAAGUCAAAACAAUGUGGAAACAACUUGCUUUUAUAUGGAUAAGGUUUCUAAGUUGUCUUUAAUAGCAAUGGAAUUUGAUUAAGACA